UACGUAGGGGGCAAGCGUUGUCCGGAAUUACUGGGCUUAAAGGGUUUGUAGGCGGCCAUGUAAGUCAGGUGUGAAAUCCCUCGGCUCAACCGAGGAACGGCGCUUGAUACUGCAUGGCUUGAGGGAGACAGGGGUAAGCGGAACUGAUGGUGGAGCGGUGAAAUGCGCAGAUAUCAGGAGGAACACCGGUGGCGAAGGCGGGUCUCUGGGCCGAUACUGACGCUGAGGAGCGAAAGCGUGGGGAGCGAACAGG
rnacentral:rRNA from 1 species